rnacentral:lncRNA from 1 species
GGAUUUUUGAAACAGCGAGGAGGCCAUGACUUGCUGCAGCUGAGCAAACCAAGCUACCAGGACGACUAUGAGAAGUUCCCAUGACAGCGUUCCCACAUCGCCCGAUUGAGGAAUUUAGAAAGAUAUUGUUGCCAGCAGCUGGCUUCAAGAACGGGAUCUACGUGACUGCUAAUCACAAGGGGGUUGUUUUCUUGCAGUUGUUUGUCUGAGUGCUUUUGACCAAUAAUCUUGUGUGAGACACUAUCUGCCCUUGUUAAGUUUGCUAUAAAAGUCAGGCUAUUUGGGUAAUAAUGAAGAAGAGCGUGAUCUGACCAUACUAGUGUCUGCUGUGUUUUUGGCCAUUUUUCCUGCAACAUAUGGCGCCCGAACAGGCUGAGACCCACAGAUGCUGAGAGACCAGAGAGACGCUGAGAGACCUGAGAGAUGCUGAGACUCCGAGCACAGACCUGAACAGAGAGAUCGUGGUGAGACACGGAGAUAGAUACAGAGAUCGCGGUGAGAUGCAGAGAUAGAUACAGAGAUUAUGGAGAUAGAUGGAGAUCGCGGUGAGACGCGGAAAAGUGAUGUAUUGCGGUGAGACGCGGGACAUCCGGGGCCGAGUUGCUACGGGAGAUCGGAGGUGUCAGUGGAAACGGCAGACGACCGCCAUCGUGUGCUUGUCGCAGUUGCGUGAGAUCACCAGACAUAAACGGGCAUUGCUCACACCGGAUUGCAAUGAUAAUGUUGAAUUGCUUGGUGUUGCAGCUAGAAUGGCAUUGGCAAGUUUAGUGCCAGGAGUGGCAUCUUUGGCUGCACUUAACAACUUAGAAAAAUUGGUAUGCUGGGCCAAUAAGCAAGCCCAUGCCAUGACAGAGAUACUUGAGGAGAUGUUACCAGAUCAAAAUAGUCUGCGACAUACACUCUUACAGGCUCGAGCUGCUGUUGACUUCUUGCUUUUGGCUCAAGUGCAUGGGUGUGAGGACUUUGAGGAAACGUGCUGUUUGAACCUUUCUGAUCAUAAUGAGUCAAUUCACAAAUUUAUUACUUUCCUGAAAGAACCCAUGAGAAAGAUUCAAUAUGAUAUCAAUCCUUUCGAUCAGUGGCUCACUGAUUUGUUUGGAACGAUGCAUAGAUGGUUACUGGGAUUAGUCAAAGAGGGAUUAAGGAUUCUGUUUGUUGUGGUGUUAAUCAUCAUUGUGUGUUGUAUUGUUAUAAAUGUGGUUAAAGGGUUACUUGCAAAACUGUUACAUCAGGCUUGGUUUGCUCAAAAAGAAAAAGGGGAAAUUGUUGAGGGAUUUUUGAAACAGCCAGGAGGCCAUGACUUGCUGCAGCUGAGCAAACCAAGCUACCAGGACGACUAUGAGAAGUUCCCAUGA